rnacentral:rRNA from 1 species
AGGACGAACGCUGGCGGCGUGCUUAACACAUGCAAGUCAAGGGGGGUGGGGCAACCCAUCAACCGGCGAACGGGUGCGUAACACGUGAGCGACCUGCCCAGUUGCGGGGGAUAGCCGGCCCAACGGCCGGGUAAUACCGCAUACGCGUUUUGGGGGCAUCCCUGGAGACGGAAACCUACGGGGCGAUUGGAGGGGCUCGCGGCCUAUCAGCUAGUUGGCGAGGUAACGGCUCACCAAGGCGAUGACGGGUAGC